CGUUCGCCGGGGCUGCCUCGUGGCGCCCGCGGCCCUCAGCGGCUGUGAGCGGGCUGGCGCGGGCCCUGCGGCCCUUCAGGCGCCUUUGGGCCUUUCCUGCCGCCUCUCCUCAGGCGGCGCCCCGUCAGCGCUGGGGCUGGUGCCCCCCGGGGAUACUCCCGGGGCGUCCCUUGCUGUGGCCGUGUCUCCCCGGUGGCUGCUUUGCCGCGGGCCGCCGAGCGCCCCUCCUGCGUGUCGCUGGCGUGAGGGUGGUGGGACGGGUGAGCAGAGGCCGUGGGCGUUCCUCGGCGGGUGUCCCGGGCCAGAGGCGUGGGAGAGCCGAGCUCUGGCACUUGCCUGGCGCUGUAAAACAGUCCCCAGCUGCCCGGGCCUGCGCUGAUCUAUAAUUCAGCAUGAGCUUUGUGUUUGUUUUCUGAGUGGAUUGAUCAAGUGGGUCGGUUGCCGUGAGUCUCCAGGUUGCACCCAAGAACUGCCCAGUAUGGGGACAUACAACGGGGAAAGCUCAGAAGUUUGUUCUCUUCAGAGGAGCAGGACAGGUGUUCUGCUGAUACUCUGGAAAUCAAAGAGAGCAAAUCUCAGCUUGGCUGGGAUCCCCAUCCAUUGGCAUGCUGGAUCUUUAAAUGGAGAAGUGCUGAGCUGAAGGAGGAACCAUGGGGAUUUCUUACCAGGUGGAAGAGGUUUAUUGGCUUUUAGAGAGUGUAUUGCUGCCUGGGCUGUGCAGGGUAUGAGAUGCGACAUAGGCUAGGGCACAGAGGAUGUGUGAAAGAUCACACCUUAAUUUGUGAAGUGUAAAAAUUGUUGCCUGCUUGCGAAACCAGAGGGAUUUUUUGUAAUAGGAGGUGUGUGGUGGGCUGCUGAGGGACAUUUGAAGGAGGAGUUGAGGAUUCUGCUCUGUACUUCAGUUCAAGCUGUGUGAAAAUUGUCCAUGUGCGUGUGCUACUGUCCUGCCUUUUUGGGAGUGGAAGGGACCUGCAAGAGUUAAUGUUUUCCUGAGAUUUCUCUCUUACUGGUAUGCUGAAAUAUGCAGGAAGCUUUGGUUUUUGUUUUCUGGUUGGUUUUUUUUUUUUCUUUUUUUGUCUUUUCUUAGAAUGAAAUAUUUCUUCUCUAACCUCAACCCUGAAGAGCAGUUGUGGGGAGGCAGGGGAGGGUACCGCAGUUUGGCUCUGUACCCUUUGGGCUGUUUGAAUUCAUUAGCUUGGGAGCCCCCACAAAUGCCUCAGGCAGUGUACCUCCUUAUCCACACAACUUGGGAGAAUCUCUUACCACUACUGCAUGCAUUAGCCUUCAUUAAUACAAUUAGCAUAAUAGCGAUUAGGAUUCAUUAUUCCCUACAAAAAGAUAAAGCUAGUAAUACGUAUCUCAGAAUCAAAUUCCUCAGUGCCUUGUCUUGGGAUUGCUUUAUUUUGGAGUUGUUUGCUCUUUAUAACCUUCCAUCUCCUAGAAAAAAGAAAGCCACUUAAUUGUAAAACUGUUUGGGUCAAAGAAAUGCACUGAGAUGAUCUUUCACGCAUGCUAAAUAGGUGAAUUGAUCUAUGGGACCCACACAGCUCAGACAGCCACUCAACAGUCGAAACUGCGAACUUCAUGUUCUUCAAGCACAAAAGCUACUUAGUUUCCCCAUGUUGAAGACUUUUUAUAAUAGCAAUAAGACAACUCUAGAGAGAACCAUCUAAUAUUAACUCCAGGGAGUAAUCAUCUAAUCACAAUCUGGGGGUGAUUUGAAGCACUCAUCUGGACCAAAUGCCUCACAACACCCCAGGAGUGGUUUUAUUGCAUGAUAGCAGUACCCCAUUGAGCCUUAUUGCUUAAUUAAAAACAAAUUCCCAAGUAAUUUUUUUGCCUUUCCAUAAAAACACAGUAGUACAUAGCGUGUAUAAAACAUCCAUUAAAUGAUGGUAGAUGCAAAUUUACAUUGUGAGAUACAAUCCGUUUCUCUACCACUUGGGGUUGAAGUUAAAUGUAAAACCAUUUCCUAUAAUCUGUGCACUGCUGUGUUUAGAGAGGAAUAAAUAUGGGAAAGAGAGGUUCA